GACGAACGCUGGCGGCGUGCUUAACACAUGCAAGUCGAACGGAAAGGCCCCUUCGGGGGUACUCGAGUGGCGAACAGGUGAGUAACACGUGAGUAACCUGCCCUCGACUUCGGGAUAACUUCAGGAAACUGGGGCUAAUACCGGAUAGGAAUCCUUGCUGCAUGGUGGGGGUUGGAAAGCUUCGGCGGUUUUGGAUGGACUCGCGGCUUAUCAGCUUGUUGGUGGGGUAGUGGCUUACCAAGGCUUUGACGGGUAGCCGGCCUGAGAGGGCGACCGGCCACAUUGGGACUGAGAUACGGCCCAGACUCCUACGGGAGGCAGCAGUGGGGAAUAUUGCACAAUGGGCGGAAGCCUGAUGCAGCAACGCCGCGUGCGGGAUGACGGCCUUCGGGUUGUAAACCGCUUUCAGCAGGGGCGAAGCUUGUGGUGACGGUACCUGCAGAAGAAGCACCGGCUAACUACGUG
rnacentral:rRNA from 1 species